rnacentral:lncRNA from 1 species
UAGAUGUAGCAUUGUUCCACACAUUUAAAACAUUUGAAGGACCUAAAUUUGUAGCAAAUUCUGUGGCAGUUUUAAAAAGUUAAGCUGCUAUAGUAAGUUACUGGGCAUUCUCAAUACUUGAAUAUGGAACAUAUGCACAGGGGAAGGAAAUAACAUUGCACUUUAUAAACACUGUAUUGUAAGUGGAAAAUGCAAUGUCUUAAAUAAAACUAUUUAAAAUUGGCACCAUAAAAAAAGAA